UUAUUUUAUUUUAAAAAUAUUAUGUUUUCAUUUUAUUUUUAUUUUUUAUGAUUCUUGCUUUCAAAUAAAAAACCGG
rnacentral:ribozyme from 16 species